rnacentral:rRNA from 1 species
GACGAACGCUGGCGGCGUGCUUAACACAUGCAAGUCGAACGGAAAGGCCCUGCUUGCAGGGUACUCGAGUGGCGAACGGGUGAGUAACACGUGGGUGAUCUGCCCUGCACUUCGGGAUAAGCCUGGGAAACUGGGUCUAAUACCGGAUAGGAGCCAUUUUUAGUGUGAUGGUUGGAAAGUUUUUUUCGGUGUAGGAUGAGCUCGCGGCCUAUCAGCUUGUUGGUGGGGUAAUGGCCUACCAAGGCGGCGACGGGUAGCCGGCCUGAGAGGGUGGACGGCCACAUUGGGACUGAGAUACGGCCCAGACUCCUACGGGAGGCAGCAGUGGGGAAUAUUGCACAAUGGGCGCAAGCCUGAUGCAGCGACGCCGCGUGGGGGAUGACGGGCUUCGGGUUGUAAACUCCUUUCGCUAGGGACGAAGCUUUUUGUGACGGUACCUAGAGAAGAAGCACCGGCUAACUACGUG